rnacentral:piRNA from 1 species
UCACAAAUGUUACAUGUGAACAGGAAGCG